ensembl:lncRNA
GGCUUCCAGGACUGUUGCUGAACACCAAGGCCACCAGGACAGAGUCCGCUGUGUGUGAGCGUUGGCACUGUGGCCGUGAGUGAGCAGUCAGCUGUACGAGGUCUGAGAAUGGACUUGAGCUCUCCACGCAGUACUUGCAACUAAAGUGAUUGAUUCUGGAGUACUAACUGGAAAAGUGAUCGCAGUCUAGCAGGCGGAGGACAGAUCUUAUGUAAUCUCUUAAUCCUAAGAACUGGGAUUCCUGUGUGUCCUUUGGUUUCAGACCAAAGAGGGAAGGCUCAGAAGGAAUCCAUCGUGUCAAGGUCUCAUCUAUUAGAUUUCAUCUCCUCAAUGGCUCUUUGUGCAGCGGCCUCCUGUGAAGGUUCUGACCAAGCUGAGACAACCACGGUCAAGUUAUGAGGAGUGUGCCACCCAUCUCAUGGAGCUGUUUGGGAGUUCAGGGCUCGUGCCUGACUUAUAGAAAGCAUUUGAUCAAUGAGCCUCCUCGUCAUCAUUGUCGUCGUCAUCACCAUCAUCAUCUUCACCAGCUAGGAUGCUUCCCAAGCUGGAUUGGUCAAGGUGUUCACAGAUGCUAUAUGAAGUCUUUCCUGCGGAACCAGCACUGUGCGUGACAUCCCUGGAAGAAGAUUUCAGGGGGCUGUUCAUCAAAGACGCCCAAGCCACCCGGAGUGGCAAGACCCUUGGUCCACACAAAGGGGAAAUGACAAGGCAAGACAAUAUCCUUGGGGUUGGUGUUAGACAUUUGCCAUCUGUGUCAGCUCUUUUGGGGAACCAUCUGCCCCAGUGCAGAGGUCCUGGUGGGACUGGCCACCUCUACUCUAGGAGUUCUGAGUUGAAACCCUGGCUCUGCUUCUUGCCCAUGGUAGCACAUCCCCACCUUGGGCCAUUCUAUGAGCCCAAUUUAUGAAGUGGGGGCUGUAAUGCCCAUAUGUGUCCUUCCUCAAGAUUCCAGGAGAUAGUAGUUAUGAAAGUGCUUCCUAAGUAUAACAUGAUAUCAUUCAGAGUUGAUUUAUAGUGAUUCUCAGGGCACCAAACUGCUUCUAAAGGAGUUGGAAAAGUAACAGGGAGCAAAAAUGAGGUUGCGGAGGCAGUAGUGCAAGUUAAUGUUGACAUUCUCUUUUUUUUGGAAAGUUUUUAAUUUUUUUUUUCAUUUUAUUUGAGAGAGAGAGAGAGAGAGAGAGAGAAGAGAGAUCUUCCAUCUAUAAAUGCCUGCAACUGCCAGGCUGAAGCCAGGAGCCAGGAACCCAAUCCAGGUCUCCCACAUGGGUCCCAGGGACCCAAGAAGUUGCACCAUCAUCUGCUUCCUCCCAGGGUGCUCAUUACCAGGCAACUAGAUUGGAAGCAGAGGAGCUAGGACUCGAACCCAGGCACUNNNNNNNNNNNNNNNNNNNNNNNNNNNNNNNNNNNNNNNNNNNNNNNNNNNNNNNNNNNNNNNNNNNNNNNNNNNNNNNNNNNNNNNNNNNNNNNNNNNNUACAGGGAAAUCCAAAAACGGAGAGCAAGUCUCAUAAAUUUAGGGGCAGGCUGCCAAGUUCUGACCUCCACUCGUCAGGCAUAGGCUUGGUGACAAUCUAUAAAUGAUGCUUGAGGGAGCAUUGAUGUUAUAAGGCACUGAUUGGACACUGCCAAUCACUCCAGAUUUUAUGGCCAGGUUCUGGUCUCUGUGCCAGAGUUUGGAAGGUCACAAAAAGGGAUAUGGUAAGGAAAGCCGAGCUAGGAAGAGGCAGGAAGUAGAAUGGUAGGUGUAGAUCAGUGAGAGACAAUGGAUGACGUGGCAUCACUCAGUAACUUGUCGGCGAGGGACAGUGUCAGGAGAGAAAAAAAGGAUAACUCCUAUUUGUUCAGGAACUCUCUGUGUUGCCUUAUAGAUAAGGCUCCCAACAACUCUGUGAGGUGAGAAUUAUUAUUUCCAUCCUAUUGGAAACUAAGGUACAGAAAGGGUUCAGCUUCUCCAAGAUUGCUAUUGUUAGAACCAAGCCUUAGGCUUUGUUCUUUUUUGCAGUAAUCACAUAAUUCAGGAAAUAAGAAAUAAAGAGGUGGGGCACAGAGCUCA